rnacentral:lncRNA from 1 species
UGCUGGGCUUCAUUAUGAUAAAAAUCAUUUGACAAUUUAAGAUACGUUUAAAGCAUUUGUUUAUGUUGCUGUUUUCUUUAGGUGACAUGUUUAAGGCCUAAUUAACACCUUUGAUGGUCUUUAAUCUGUUGAUCACUUUAUCUUGGGUUAAUUAGUGUUGUCACUAGGAUUUACACGGGUCAAUGUUUACUUUGCAAUUUCCCUCAAUCCAGAUUAUUUGUAACCUUCGUGUCUAAAGGCUUUAAUUUUUUC